AAUCCUUAUCUCUUUCCCCACCACUCUCUCUGUCUCUCACUCUCACUCUCUCUCCCCCGCCAUCCCUUCCGCUUCUCUCUGUCUCUCCCGCAGCGAGGAUGGCACGAGCACGCGGGCACGGGGCGGAGUGGCGGCGGCAGCGAGCGGAGCUGGGCACCGGGCACUAGCACCAGCAGGAGCGGAGCUGGCUGCUGGGCAGGCAGGACGCCGGCGCAUGGUGCCGCCGGGGGGCCGCUUGUGCAGGGGCCCGUCGGCCUAGCUGCGGUCGCCGCCGGCGUGUUGGGGCGCGGCCUCCCGGCGUUGGAGCGGGCCACCUCAGCAGCGAAGGGCGCAGGAGCCCGGCCUCGCGGCGUUGGAGUGGGGGCUGGGCCACCCCAGGCCCCGGCUGCGGAGCACGCAAGAAAAGCUUGGACAGAGAUCGUGGAUUGUGCAUCCAGUGCAACCACUGCUAUAUAUGUGUCUUGAUGCCUCUUGUGAGCAACUGAGCAUGAAUCAACAGAGUCAGCCAAGAAGCAACAGAAGAGGAAGAUGGCCUUCUCUGAAUUGGAUAUUAUGGAUAAAGAAUCUGUUUAUGCUGAAUGGCAGAGAGAAAUGAAAUUUUGUGAGCGUUUUGUGAUUCUUGUGUAGUCUUGUAAAAUAAAAUCCUGUAAUUGUUGUGUAAUCUUGUGAUCCUUGUGACUUGUCAAAUGAAUUCUUGAUUCUUGUGUAAUGAAAUCUUGUGAUUGAUUGUUGUGACUCUUGUAAA